CAUCAUUUGAGAUCCAAAAGUGUUCUCCUCCUACUUGUGAAUACCUUCUAUAGAGCUACAUUCUUCAUCAGGAGAUCCAUAAGUGGCCUCAUAUUUCUUAAUGAAGGUCGGUGUUCUCCCCAGGACCUUUUUAGUGGGUGCAUUACCCAGCUGAUUUUUCUCACCGCCCGGCUAACAUUUUAGUCAAUAUUAAGCUAAAAUAAGCUAAUAUUAAGUGUUCAAUUUGUAUUGCACAAAUUAUCAUUAAAUACAUUUAUGUUAAA